CGGAGAGGGAGCCUGAGAAACGGCUACCACAUCCAAGGAAGGCAGCAGGCGCGUAAAUUACCCAAUCCUGAUACAGGGAGGUAGUGACAAUAAAUAACAAUGCCGGGCCAUCAUUGGUCUGGCAAUUGGAAUGAGAACAAUUUAAAUCCCUUAUCSAGGAUCAAUUGGAGGGCAAGUCUGGUGCCASCAGCCCGCGGUAAUUCCAGCUCCAAUAGCGUAUAUUAAAGUUGUUGCAGUUAAAAAGCUCGUAGUUGGAUUUGUGGCGUACGGUGUGUUCCGGGCACUUGUUGUCUGAGUAACCUGCCGUUGCCCAUCCUUGGGUGGAACCUGUGUGGCAUUACGUUGUCGYGCAGGGGAUGCCCAUCAUUUACUGUGAAAAAAUUA
rnacentral:rRNA from 1 species